CCCUUAGAUGUUCUGGGCCGCACGCGCGCUACACUGAUGCAUUCAACGAGUCUAAAACCUGCUCUGAUAGGGGUGGGUAAUCUUUUGAAUGUGCAUCGUGAUUGGGAUAGAUGAUUGCAAUUUUUCAUCUUCAACGAGGAAUGCCUAGUAAACGCAAGUCAUCAGCUUGCAUUGAUUACGUCCCUGCCCUUUGUACACACCGCCCGUCGCUCCUACCGAUUGAAUGAUCCGAUGAAUAUCAUGGAUUGAGGAUGCAAGUAGGUUAGCCUACCUUCAUCUUCGAGAAGUGAAGUAAAUCUUAUCAUUUAGAGGAAGGAGAAGUCGUAACA
rnacentral:rRNA from 1 species